GUAUUCACCCCCGGGCCUGUGGCCUGGUGCUGCUCUAAGGUUUUCCUGCACAGGAACUCGGUUAAGCCUCACAGCAACUGUAGGGUGCUGGCUCUACGGGCAGGGGAGAAGCCGAGUCUCUCCGAGGUGCAGUGGCUCUGCGAGGCCCCUCACCGGGCCCCGAGCCAGUCCGGCCCCAGCACCUGCACUGCCCAGGGCCGCAGUCCCCGGGGUCACGCAGGAGCUCUCGGCUGUAGCAGAGGGUCAGCUGCUGACCGGUGGCCUCCUCCGGCCGGUUUUUUCCUGGUGCAGCCAGCUGCCCCAGCUCUAGGGAGGGGCCAGCUGGCCUGUUGUGUUGCCGGAGUUUGCCAGAAGGAUUAUUUUCCACUGCAUGUCAAAACAAGCCAAGCCGGAAAGACCAACAAACAGCACGUAGCUUGCAGCCAAAGGAGAAGCCGCCCUGCCUCCUCUGCAUGGCUGCGGAGGCCCUAGGGCCCAGGUUCUGGCCUGGCCCACCUGCGCUCCGUCUCUGCAGCUGCCCACAUCCUCUGCUCCUCGGCCUGUGACUUUGAGCAGUGACUUGGAGGAGGCUGGGCUCUGUCUAGCUGCACCACCAGCUCCGGACCCCAGGCCCCGGCCACACCAGGAUCCCCUCUGCAGGGCAGGCUGGCAUCGCUGCUCGGAGCGCCUGUGCUGGAGCCCAGCCUGGGGCCGUGCUCUGCAUGGGUCCUGGAGGGCCUGAGCGUCUGCUCCUCUCCGAGGGAGAAACUUCGACCCCAUCCUCUGCAGAACCCACAGGACUGCAGGCCCAGGUGCACUCUGCGGGCUGGCGGCUGCCAGGCUCCGCUCCCCAUCUGCGUCUGCCUCUGCGUCACCCCUGCCAGGACCCGCCCUCCGGCACAGCCUGUCCCAGCCCUUGUCUCUUGGAUUUUCACUUGGCACCCGGCACUGCAUUGUGUCCUUGGAGUGUUUGUUGUCGCUGCUGGGCCUUGUUUCACUGCAGCUUGGUGGCCGGAGGGAAGUGCGCUCCUCCACCGGGCUGGGGACUUGGUGGGGAAAUCUCCUCAGUGGCCUAGGAUACUCCCAAC
ensembl:lncRNA